GACGAACGCUGGCGGCGUGCCUAAUACAUGCAAGUCGAACUAGAGCGACCGGUGCUUGCACUGGUCAAUCUAGUGGCGAACGGGUGAGUAACACGUGGGUAACCUGCCCAUCAGAGGGGGAUAACAUCCGGAAACGGAUGCUAAAACCGCAUAGGUCUUCGAACCGCAUGGUUUGAAGAGGAAAAGAGGCGCAAGCUUCUGCUGAUGGAUGGACCCGCGGUGCAUUAGCUAGUUGGUGAGGUAACGGCUCACCAAGGCCGUGAUGCAUAGCCGACCUGAGAGGGUGAUCGGCCACAUUGGGACUGAGACACGGCCCAAACUCCUGCGGGAGGCAGCAGUAGGGAAUCUUCCGCAAUGGACGCAAGUCUGACGGAGCAACGCCGCGUGAGUGAAGAAGGUUUUCGGAUCGUAAAACUCUGUUGUUAGAGAAGAACAAGUGCUAGAGUAACUGUUAGCGCCUUGACGGUAUCUAACCAGAAAGCCACGGCUAACUACGUG
rnacentral:rRNA from 1 species